CAGUCGCCGCGGUAAUACGGAGGGGGCUAGCGUUGUUCGGAAUUACUGGGCGUAAAGCGCACGUAGGCGGCUUUUUAAGUCAGAGGUGAAAGCCCGGAGCUCAACUCCGGAACUGCCUUUGAGACUGGAAGGCUUGAACGUCGGAGAGGUGAGUGGAAUUCCGAGUGUAGAGGUGAAAUUCGUAGAUAUUCGGAAGAACACCAGUGGCGAAGGCGGCUCACUGGACGACUGUUGACGCUGAGGUGCGAAAGCGUGGGGAGCAAACAGGAUUAGAUACCCGCGUAGUCCCUGUCUCUUAUAC
rnacentral:rRNA from 1 species